AGAGUUUGAUCCUGGCUCAGGAUGAACGCUAGCGGCAGGCCUAACACAUGCAAGUCGAGCGGGUGCCAGCAAUGGUAUCAGCGGCGGACGGGUGCGUAACACGUACGUAACCUACCUUUGGAUGGGGGAUAACAGUUCGAAAGGACUGCUAAUACCGCAUAAUGCAGCGGCACCGAUGGGUGACAGUUGUUAAAGUCGAGUGACGUCUGAAGAGGGGCGUGCGUCCGAUUAGCUAGUUGGUGAGGUAACGGCCCACCAAGGCUUCGAGCGGUAGCUGGUCUGAGAGGAUGAUCAGCCACACUGGCACUGAGACACGGGCCAGACUCCGACGGGAGGCAGCAGUGGGGAAUAUUGGGCAAUGGGCGCAAGCCUGACCCAGCCAUGCCGCGUGAGGGAAGAAGGGGCAUUGCCUUGUAAACCUCUUUUCUUCGGGGAUAAGGCGCUAUUAGAUAGCGAUUGAAGGUACCGGGGGAAUAAGCACCGGCUAGCUACGUGCCAGCCGCCGCGGUAAUAC
rnacentral:rRNA from 1 species